GCACCCAGCUUUUCUUCUUCUCCUUGCCAAGCUCCCACGACGCCCAUCCCCUAUGCCGAGGCCUCCCAACUCUCUCUCACUCAGCCGGCGCUUUGCCCAAUCCCCAAACUCGUCGCGCCCCUGCUCCUCCAGGCUGGCCGCACGCCCAUCUUCCUACCGUGCUCGCCCAGCUCGGAUCUCUUCUUGCCGGCGCUCUUCCCUGCCAUGGCCGCACCCCCCCUCAGCUCGCCUCCCUCAUGCACGCCACGCUCCUCCCUGCUCGGCCAUGGAAGCCACGCUGUCGACCCCGCUUUGUUGGGGGUCUUCGGCUUUCGAAGGUUCUCAAAAGCAUGAUUUAACAAUGUUUCUGGAGUAUAAUAAAUGAGCACAACCUUUGGAUUUGGACCCUUCGGAAUUGAGUCAAAAUCACAGUAUAAAGAAGCCCAAGGGAAACAAAGGAGGGAACAGAGCCGAAGCUGUGCAGAAGGGAGCUUCGGCAUAAUGACAGGAAAAAGGAAACCGACUUAAAGGGGAAAAGGCUAUCUAGACCCCGAUGAAUUGCUAUAGAGUUAUUAGCAAAUGAAAAGGGUCUGGAUGUAAUUUUACAAGGGCUGUGACCCAUGCCUAUAAAUAGAUGAACAGUACUCCCGUACUGUUCACGCUGACUGGACAUCUUUGCCUUCGUGUCACGCUUGUACUUUCAUUUUCUUUCAAGCCGAAGGUACUUUUGUAACUUGUUAACAUUCCUAUUUUUCCUUAAUAAUAAAAUAAAAAUGAGUUGAUGGUAAUAAAUGACUGUUUUAUCUUUUACAUCUCAUAUGUUAUCUUUUUCUCGUUCAUAUGUUGCUUUGACGAAGGUACGCCCUUCUCAACCUUUGUCCAAAAAACAUUAUUUCUCAAAAGGGAUAUAAUGCUUCGAGGGACGAAGGACUUUAACGUUUAACAUUCUCUGUGUUGCCUUGUUCUUAACUCAUAGCGUUUGAGAACAAGUCCCCAACAUUGGCGCCCACCUCCGGUGAACCCUUUUCGACCACCUUCGGCAAGCAUCGACCUUCGUCAUGCCGUCAAAGAAAGCUUCAGCAACAGGGGCUGCCGCUCUGCAGCCGCUGGACCCGAAUCAGGAGACCCUUUCUCUUCGGGAGGCCCGAAGCCAGAAGAGAAAGGGCAACAGUCCAACGCCUCAGGAGGACGACUUGGACCAAGAAAUCAGAAAUAUGUAGAUGCUUCAUCAACAAGUGCAAAGGAAGAAGGAAAAGAUGGCUCGGCUAGCUGACCUACAAAGACAGAUAGACGAAGCCUCUGAAGAAGUUCGUCAUCUUACUCAAGAUGAGCAGAACCGAAAGCCCUAGUACAGAGAGCUUCACCAAGAGGGCUUCGUCAACGAAGAUGACUGGUAUGAAGAUUUCCAUCAUGGAAAUUUUGCCUUUGAUGAUGCUUCUCCUCUGUCAGCAGAACUGCAGGCUACACCUUGGCCCCCGUCUUACAAACCACCUCAGCUCCCCAUGUAUGACGGACACUUAGAUCCGAAGCAAUUUCUGAUGAGCUACGAAGCAACCAUAUCUUCAUACGGUGGCAAUACUGCAGUCAUGGCGAAAUCUUUCGUCAUGGCAGUAAAGAAUGUUGCACAAACCUGGUACUCUUCUCUUCGGCCAGGAACAAUCACAUCAUGGCAAAAGCUGAAGGACAUGCUCAUCACCAGUUUCCAAGGGUUUCAGACGAAGCCGGUCACUGCUCAAGCUUUGUUUCAGUGCACCCAGGAUCACGAAGAAUACCUUCAGGCAUAUGUCCGAAGGUUCUUACGACUGAGGGCACAGGCGCCAACGGUGCCCAACGAAAUUGUUAUUGAGGCCAUGAUUAAGGGGCUUCGGCCAGGACCUACAACCCAAUACUUCACCAGGAAACCCCCUCAGACCCUAGAGAAAAUACUUCAAAAGAUGGAUGAAUAUAUCCGCGCAGAUAAUGACUUUCGACAAAGAAGGGAGGAAGCUUACAUGUUCUCUAAAAUGACCAGGGGCUUCGGAGGGAGAGUCCACCCUAGACACGUCAAAUCAAUCCACUCUACUCAAAAUGACGACAGGGGAAGUCAGCAACAGAGGCCACAAUAUUCCUCCCAGGCUUCGGGGCAGCAACAGAGCUAUCCACGGCCCCCUAGCUCCAAGGGGCAGAGGCGCCAGGGCUUCAGAGGAAGAUUUGGGGAUAAACCUAGGAAAAUUUAUUGCCUAUUCUGCGGUGAGGACAAGGGCCAUACUACCAGGAUGUGUCAUGUCACCAUCCAGAAACAGAAAGAGAUAGCAGAAGCUGCAGUCCAACAGAGUCAGCCGAAGCAGGUUAUGCAUACUGCUUCGUACCACUCACCGUACAUUCCAGAGUAUGUGGGUAACCAUCCUGCAGUUUCUGUUGCUUCGGCAAGCCAACCUCAGGCAUCUUGGCAACAGCCUCCACCUCCACCACCAAUGCAACCCGCUUAUCCCCAAGGCCAGCAGCCAGAAGGGAGCCAGCACACUCACCAGCAGCGAGACUUCAGGGAGCAGUCCGAAGCUCGCAUAGUCAACAGUACUGUGCCAGAAUCGAAGCACAUCUACUAGGAGAUAUCCUAUCUCUGAAACAGUUUUUACAUUCGUUAUCAUUUACCUUUUUUAAAUAAAGAGCAAUCAUUGAAAACUUAGUCCUUUUAUUGUUUACAAUUUCUUGUAAUAGCUUCAUCAAUGUCAUAAUGUAAUAUACCUUCCUCAUAAACCGACGAAGUUCCAAAAGCUUUGACGAAGCAACAAAAAGUCGUUUUAAGGAACGCAGUGUAAGUUUUUGUCGGAGCAACAAAAGUCGUUCUUAAUGGAACGUAGCGUAAGUUUUUUGCUCAAAAGUCGUUCCAAAGGGAAUGCAGAGCUUACAGCGAAAAAUAAACGCUGAUACCGCCGAAAUAAAAGGCGAAGAAGCUCCUAAGGGAGGCUUACAGCAAAAAAUAAACGCUGAUACCACCGAAAUAAAAGGCGAAGAAGCUCCUAAGGGAGGCUUACAGCGAAAAGUCAACAUUGAUACACCGAAAAAUAAGCGGUGUAGUCGAAAAAUAAACGGCAAAGAGACUGUGUUCUACUAUGGGAACGUGUGCGUAUCUUCGGCACAAAUAUCAUUUUGCAUAUCAUGACAUCAUCACAUCAUUCGCAUAACAUGACAUCACACAUCAUAUUGCAUCAAUGGCACAAGAGGGUUAUACAAUGUUAAUCUUCGGAAAUUGUUUCGAAGAAAUUAUGCCAAGGCAUAGAAUAAAGUUUGAAGAAGUACAGUUUCGUCAACCUUAGUAUCAGAGAAGAUCUAUUGCUUACGAAGCAUAAUAUUUUCGCGAAUAUGGAUAUUCUUCACGAAGCAUGAAAAUAAGGGAAGGUGUUUUUUCGCCAAAGGCUAAAAAACGGUAUGUAUGUAAAGUUUCAUGCAUCGUAAAGAACUGAAUUAUAUACAACUUAUAUACAUUACUAUAGAAUAUUACACACUUUGUUCAGCAAAUAUUACAUCAGUAUUCCGAAUGUUUUUACAGCAAUAACUAUUCUUCUUUUAAAACUACUUCUGCAACUUCGUUCAAUAGUUGAUUCACAACGUUAUCCAUAAUAGCUUCGGCCAUCUUUGUAAUUUCAUCUUCCCUUUUUGCUUCGGGGUCGGUUAAUGACUCAAUAGGCUCCGGGGGAGGAGAUAGUUCAGCUGCGAUACAAAACAUGAAUAAGUUUGAAGUUACAGAAAUAGAACAUAAAGUCAAAAGCAAUUAAGUAAUACCUCUCCGCCUUUCAAGAUCUGUAGUUUUUUCAGCUGCCUUUGAUACUUCUCUAGCAUCAUGAGUAUCUUUUUCACUUUUCUUUAUAAUUUCGUGAGCCAUCCCUCGGCCACCAUUUUCCCAGAUGUCGGUGAAAAACUUUCCGCCAACCAAGCUUGCUUCGACCGAGGGGUCUUUUGUAUCUUCAAUAGAGAACGCAGCUUCGGCUUGGGCCAGAAUCUUCACAUGUUCGCAUCCUGCCUUCUCUAAGAUAGCAACAAUUCCCCUGGCACCUGAGAAGGCGCAGAGAUCUCCAUGGCCGCUCAAAACUUCCUCAAAGGCUUCGGCUUCGCCGUUGAUCCAUUCGAUUGGACCUUCGGGAUCGCCUAGUACGAAGUUGUCCUCAUUUGAAUAUGCGCCGAUAUUGGCGAAACUGGUUUUUAUCUUUUGUACACAUGCCACAGAUUUUUCAUAGCAUCUUUCUUUCGAAGAACGAAGCUCCACAGCUGUUUUUCCCCAGUGUUUUUUCCAGUAGUCACUGGCGUCUCGGUCAGCUUCGGCAAUUGCACAUUUUAAUUUUUCUUCUGCCAGCUGUUUCCGAAGAUCUUCAAUUUCUCAUUUCUGGGUCUUAGCUUGGGCUUUUGAAGCAGCCUCGUUUUCUUUUAUCUUGUUUAUCAAUGAGUUUAAUAUUUUGUCUUUUUCAAGACCUUCGUUCCUUAGCUCGAUUACUUCGGAACGAAGGUUAUUCAAGGCCAUGGUACAACCCUCGUCUUCAGCGCUUUUUUGUGCCCUGAGGGCGUUGCUAAGAAUAAGGCCGGCAAAAGGGGUGUGGUAUUAAGUAUAAGCAAACGAAAAAAAAUUUAAGUACAAAAAUCUUAUUCUCUCACCUUUAAGCUGUUGUAUGCUAAGUUGUCGGCCAAUUCAUCUUUUGAUAACACUGAGAGCCCGUUUUCUAGCGUCGGGAAUCUGAAGCUUCUUCCCAUCUCCCGGUAGACAGAGAUUUCCUUGCUGUCUGGGAGACAAUAUAAGAAGUCUUCUUCUCCGCUGCCGUUGAAAAUCAAUGCCCCCUUCGGAUAUUUCAAUUUUUGGGCAUAGAACUGAGCUUCUUGCUUUUCUUUUUCAGUUAAAUUUUUCCCCGAAGCAUGUCGUAAAAUAUAAUUGAGAGCUUCGGAAAAUGCUUCAGGGGUGGCAGUGCUAGUUUCUUCAGUCAAAAUUUGUUCCACCGCUUCUGUUUCUUCUCCUCUGGUUUCCAAGGAUUUCCCCUUGGCGGGCUCCGAAGGCCCAGCUUCAGUCUCAGCCUGGUGCUUUGUAACUUCGGCUUCAGAAGCUGUCGUCUCAAUUUGCGCUUUUGGAACUUCGGCAAUUUUCUUUGGAGUAGAGCUUGAAGACUUUAUCGUCUCUAACACAUCUAGUACAUUGACCAUCCUUUUUCUCUUCGGAGUUGCCGUGAGGUCUUUUUGCGUCUUCAGCACGGUCAUUUCUGCCGGAGGGCUUGUAACUUCUACUAUCUUCGUUUUCGUGGUCUCUAUUUCUUUUAUAUUAUCAGCCUUCAGCAAUAUAGCCAGCUCUUCAUUCUUCCGAGUAAGAGAAGGUUCUUUGGCUUCAGUAGUAGUAGAGGUCUCACCACCAAAUUUGGGCACUAAGGCCGGUUCGAUGAAGCGCGGUCGGUGAGUAAGGACCUUCACCCUUUUCCUUUUUGGUGUGGCUUCACUUAGAGCAACUGAAGCAUCACCUUUUCCAGAAGUUGUGCUUUUUCUCUUUUGCCCUUUCAGCGGGUAGUGGUAAUCAGGGUACAUAAACCCAAUAGCAUCGAAAACUCUAUUCAGCCUCUUCUUUUUCCGCCCUCCGAAGGUCGCAGAUAGCGCGUUAUCUUCUGUCUUUGAAUAUGGUCCAAGCAGUUCGUCGCUUGUAGCUUCGAUGCAUUUCAGCCAAUCAUCAUCUGGCUCAAUAAACUUACCCUCAUAUCUGAAGUUGUAUUUCAACCUAACCAGUCCACCUUCAUCAGGCUUGUUGAUAGUUUCCUUUGGCAUUUCCCAUUGCUCUACAAGCGACCACACUCUGAAGGCUAUGUGCUCCUGGACUAAAUCCCUCGUUCCAAUGAAAGAGCAGACUAUGCCGAAGGCCUUUUGGCAUUCUUCGGCUGCAUCAUCAAUCUCCACCUUCGGUUUCCGAAGGCCGAAGCGCUGCCAGAUAGGACGCAUGAUAAUAUCUUUAACGUCUUCUCGUGCCUUUAAAUCGUUUUUCACGUAAAACCAUUCCUUCAUCCAGUUCCCAUGCCAUCUUUUCCGGAAGGUUGGCACGGGACAGCUCGAGCCAGAGCAAGCGUCGAAGCUAUAACAACCAAAAUUGUUAUGAUAUUGCUCUUGGCCCCAGGGUUUCGUCUCAUAUAACAGUUCAUGCAUAUUGCAAAAGCUUUUUGCAUUUGGUCCAAGCCCUGGCUCCUCACGGCCUAGACAAAGAUUCCCAUUCUUAUGAUUGCUUCGGGCGUAAUUUGAUGAAGGUAGACUUGAUAGAUCUUUAAAACCUCAACCACAAAUUUGCUUAAUGGAAACCGAAGCCCAGCUUUAAAAAAGCUUCGGAAGAUCACAACUUCAUUCUCUUCAGGAGUAGGCACAAUCCUCUCUCCGUCAUCAGCCCUCACAGUAGACAUGUCUCGAAAAUAUCUUCCCCUCAUGUUAUCGAGAUGACUCUGUUUAAUACUCGAUUUUCUGAAGACUGCGUGACUGGGUCGCCACGGUCGAUCUUCGGAGUCUUCACCUCCGCUUUCUUUAUCAUAACUGUCACUUUCACCAGUGUCCUUAGAUAAACCUUCUAAAAUCUCCCUAGUGAUCUUCUCCGUAUUCGUCUUCACUAUCGAUUCAAGAAACCCAAGAUUCUUCUCUUCAGAAAGGCUCAGCUUUGUUUCGGUGAUAGCUUUGUUAUCUUGAGACAUCUUUGGAAAUGUUGAAAAUGUGCUCUUAAGGCCGAAGCUAAAAAAUCUAAAAAGCCAGGCAAGCAUUGGUGUGCAAAGAACUAAAAAUUGGGAAAGCAAGAGCAGACGGCAAGAAAGCGUGCCAAAUGUGAUCGCGGUGCGCUCUUAUUUAUACGCCCAGUACGUUGCAAGUGGGAGGGCCCCGCUUUUCAUUGACUAUUGCUAUUCUAGCAAGGAGAAGGUGUUUUUUUGGACCUUCGGCUUAAGGCCUUCGUCCAUAUCGCAAUCUGAAUUUAUCAUUCUAACAAAUUAAUAUUGCGAGGGGCUACUGUUGGGGGCCUUCGGCUUUCGAAGGUCCUCAAAAGCAUGAUUUAACAAUGUUUCUGGAGUAUAAUACAUGAGCAGGUACCUUCGGACUUGGACCCUUCGGACUUGAGUCAAAAUCACAGUAUAAAGAAGCACAAGGGAAAUGAAAGAGGGAACAGAGCCGAAGCUGUGCACAAGGGAGCUUCGGCAUAAUGACAGGAAAAAGGAAACCGCCUUAAAGGGGAAAAGGCUAUCUAGACCCCGAUGAAUUACUAUAGAGUUAUUAGCAAAUGAAAAGGGUCUGGAUGUAAUUUUACAUGGGCUGUGACCUGUGCCUAUAAAUAGAUGAACAGUACUCUUGUACUGUUCACGCUGACUGGACAUCUUUGCCUUCGCGUCACGCUUGUACUUUCAUUUUCUUUCAAGCCGAAGGUACUUUUGUAACUUGUUAACAUUC
rnacentral:lncRNA from 1 species